rnacentral:rRNA from 1 species
AGUAACGGCGAGUGAAGCGGUAAAAGCUCAAAUUUGAAAUCUGGCUCUUGUAGAGUCCGAAUUGUAAUUUGUAGAAGAUGCUUCGGGUGUGGUUCCUGUCUAAGUUCCUUGGAACAGGACGUCAUAGAGGGUGAGAAGCCCGUAGGUGACUGGAUUCCUAUGCUCAUGUGAAGCUCUUUCGACGAGUCGAGUUGUUUGGGA